rnacentral:RNase_P_RNA from 1 species
CUAAUAAAUCGUUCUAUCGUGCCAAGUAAUUGGUAAGGAAAGUCCGGACAGCAUAGAGUACCAUACCUUAUGAAAGUGAGGGUUCCAAUUUAUUGGAAACAGCUAGUGCAACAGAAAAUAAACCGUUCCGAUUUAUCGGAAUAAGGGUGAAAAGGUGAGGUAAGAGCUCACCGCUCCAAUGGCAACAAAGGAGGCUAGGCAAACCUUAUGGGCUGCAAGGUCAAAUAAACCGGAAAUGGGGUUACUCGCUCUUCCGGAGGGUAGACUGCGAAGAUAAAUGAUAGAAUAUCUCUUUGAGAUAACAGAAUCUGGCUUAUAGAUUUAUUUAUUAA